UUGGGAAUGCGACGGCAGGCGCAACAACUGCGGGGACUGGAGUGAUGAGAAGCAUUGCGUGUGCCGCUCUGAUCAGUUCAAGUGCGCCAACACCGGCCUUUGCAUAGACGAGACGCUGCGGUGCGACGGAAAUUCCAACGACUGCUUCUACGACGACAACAGUGACGAGCACGGCUGCUGCACCGGUGACCAUUUCGUGUGUGACGACGGCAGAUGCAUCAACAAGCGUAAUGAAUGCGACGGCAGGAACAAUUGCUGGGACUGGAAAGAUG